CACAGCUCCCGGGAGGGCGGGAAGGGCCGGCCCCCCUGGAGGAGGCCGCGGGGCUGCGGAGCCCGGGCGGCAGGGGGCGCUCUCCGGGACCACAGCCUCCUGCUGUUUGUAACUCCAGGCCUUUCCUUCUUACUGUGGUGUUUAUUCAUGGGAGAGAGAGAAUUACAGAGAGGGGAGAGGCAGAGAGAAAGGUCUUCCAUGCUCUGGUUCGCUCUCCAGAUGGCCACUACAAGGGGUCUCCCAGGCAGGAGCAGGCCCCAAGCCCUCGGGCCAUCUUGCAUGGCUUCCCCAGCCCAUUAGGAGAGAGCCAGAAGGGAAGAGGAGCAGCCGGGACAGGAACCAGCGCCCAUGGGGGAAGCCGGCCCUGCAGGCGGAGGCUUAGCCCACCAGGACACAGCACAGGCCGGGCCCACGGCGUUUCCGGUGCUGUGCCGAGAAACUGACUUGAAACUUAGCAGACUCCAGGAGCUAGAAUCCUGCUGUCUUUUCUCUUAGAGAGAGGAGGCCUUGCCUCCUGCAUGGGGGCUUGUAGUGUAUAACUUUGUUGCAGGCAGAAGUCUCUGAGGGUUAAAGUGCAGUUAAGGAAGUGAGGUUAAGGUGGCUGCGGGUCAUCCCGCACUGUCUUGGGCUCAGAGGCUCUGGAGCUGGCGCAGUCACACUAAGGAGAGGAGCCCAGGAGCUGCAGCGUGGGGGGGACAGGGCGUGCACAGAAGGGCAGGGUCCAGCAGCCAGGUGGCACAGCAGGUUAGAGCCCCAGCCUGUAGCCCCGACCUCCAUGGGGGCUGCUCCACUGGCUCUGCAGCUCUCUGCUGUGUCCCUGGGAAGCAACCAAAGACGGCCCUAGUCCUUGGGCCUCUGCCCUGGUGUGGGAGACUUGGCAGAAGCUCCUGGCUCCUGACUUUGGAUCAGCUCAGCUCUGGCCAUUGUUGUCAUUUGGGGAGUGAACCAAAGACCUCUCUCUCUCUCUCUCAGGCUCGACCUCUCUCUGUAACUCUGUCUUUCAAAUAAAAUAUAAUAAUUAUUAAAAGAAGAAGAACCAGGGCAGUGUCUUUUCCCGUGGGCCACACUAGUUCACUCAUCUCUUCCCUGAAAGGUUGCUGGGCCCAAGCCAGCUCCUCCCCGGGGUUUGAGUCAUUCAGUUUGUUCUGCACCUGUUCUCUCCAUCCUUAUCCUCUCUACUUGUUUUGUGUGUGUGUGUGUGUGUGUGUGUGUGUGUGUGUGAUUUAUUUAUUUAUUUGAGGGUUAUCACUACAGAGAGAGGGAUAGACAGAAAAAAGGGCUUCCAUCUGCUGGUUCACCACCGAAAUGGCCUCAAUGCCUUCCUCUGGGCUGAUCUGAAGCCAGGAUUUAUCCGGGCCUCCCACAUGGGUGCAGGGGCCCAAGCCCUUGGGCCAUCUUCCACUGCUCUCCUAAGCGAUAAGCAGAGAGCUGAAUUGCAAGAGCAGCAGCUGGGACAUGAACCGGCUCCCACACGGGAUCCUGGCCCGACUGACAGAGGCUUCCCCUACAAAGCCAUAGCCGGGCCCCAUCUCCUUCUACUUUAAAUCAGAUGUGGAGAAAUCCUGCCUGAACCCCGUGCUCACAUUAAUGAGAUUGCAGGGAUGUGUGGGAAGGAUCCCUCUUCCAAUAGGGUGAAAACAACACCUGUGUCUUUUCUGCUUUUUCCACAUAAAUUCUUAGGUGCUUCUUCUGGUCAUAUGAAUAAUGUGCUUCCUAUUUUUGUGGGGAUUGCCUUGAAUUUGUAAAUUGCAUUGGAUAGAGUAGACAUUUUCAUCAUGUUAAUUCUUGUAAUCCGUGUACAUGAAUGUCUUUCUAGUGUUUGUGUCUGCUUCAGGUUCUUUCACUGGUGUUUCAUAAUAGUCAUGGUAGAGAAGACACUAAGAAAUGGACAAGUAGGAGUACUUUCUACAUGGCUUGGCAAACAUUUUAAUGAGAUGUAGGGGCAAAGCAUUGAGGCCUGUCUGUGUCUAGCACACAGUAACUGCUCAGUCACAUUAGUUCUUACCAGUCCAUCACCCUCUGCUCUUUCAGACUCUUCUUCCUUGUCUUAGACAAUGGAUAACUGUUCAUGGUGUGAUGGACCAUUCUACUCACAUAAGUUAAUGUUCCUCAAAUGAUUUAAAUGUUUAGUAUUAUUAAUAAUGUCUCAAGGAGCACCAUCUACAUAUAUUUGGUAUGUCCCUUAUUAAUUUUGAAGAUACUUCUCCAGGUUGUAUCCUGUAAAGGGAAUUGCAAGAUCAAAGUUCUGGUACAUUCCUGAUGGUGCUGUUCUGGCCCCAUUGCCUGGCAAGAAGAUUUUCCCAUUCACAUUCACAGCCACUGAUGAGAAUGUUCUUUUCUAUACCCCCUUGCAGAAACUAGACAGCCCCUGUUACCUUCUGUUAACUUUUACCAGCACUUAACUCUUUAUUGUGAGAUUUUAUCAACUCAGAUUACACUCAAUAGGCCUGGAAAGGCUGCGAUCAAUGGGAUGGUCUGUGUUCUCUUGUAUUGGAUGACUGCUCUGUUCUGAGAUAAUCAGACAACAGCAGUGUGAGCACACAAGUCUUGCAUGGUGGACGACACUGAGUGUUGGGUUCCUGCAGUGUUCUGGAUUUUGUGUGUGAGGCCCUCAUUUCUCUGUCGCUCUUUCCUUUCUUUCUGCCUGCUUCCUUAUUCUUUCUUUCCACUGACUUGGGAUUGGUCUGCUCCUGUUUUACUAGGAUUUUUGAGAUACUUUGUUAGGUUAUUGGAAGUCCUUCUAAUUAUUUGAUGUAGGAACUUAAUCCCAUAACCUUUCCUCUGCAUACUACUUUUAGAAUUUCCUGUAGAUUCAGUGUGUUGUGCUUCCAUUUUAAUUAGUUUCAUGGAAUUUUGAAAUUUCCCUCUUGGUUUCUUAUCCAGCCUUUAUGUAUUUGCAUACCUUUGGGGGUUCUUGCAUUGUUGAUUUCUAGUAUUAUAGCAUCCAUGUUCCAUGUGCAGAUGAAAAGAAGGUGUAUUCUGCAGCUGUGGAGUGAAAUAUCUGUACUCAUCUGUUAUGGCCAUUUGGUCUGUAGUAGUUUCUCUCUGAUGUUUGUUAAUUUUUUUCCAGGUGAUCUCUUCCUGUCGAAGAAAGAUUCAAUGUGUUUGAAUUUCAUUGAAGAGGACUUUCACAUGCUGGUUGAACUUAUCACAAGGAGACAAAAAGAAGAACAUGGAUCUCCAUACAGAAAUGACCUCCAUGAGGUCUGACACUCUCCACCAUUGCAGCAGAGGAGAAAACCUGAGGGAGAAUUCCAGAGGAGCAGAAAUAGCAGUGCUUUAUCUGAAGUCUACAAAACCCAACAAUGCAUUCUUGGAAGACAAGAGCCAUGCUCAGCACAGGGAAGCUGGAGGUCAAAGCUCAUGGGGUGGCUCUCCUUCCAUCAGCUGUGGUGCUGAGACAACCUCUUAGUCUCUAUGGACCCCAGGUUCCUCAUCAGUGAGAUCCAGAACUGAGUCCACAUCCUGAGAACCCAGAACUGAAGGUGCAGAUGAAGGAAGAUGAGCAGCUCUCUGGGACGUGAGAAUGACCCAGAGAAUGACAAGGUAAUGUUAGGGUGAAACCAAGUGUGGGUGAGAUGAA